AACUUGCCGCGUAGUCCAUCAAUGAGCGUUUCGAUGUCACUGGUACAGGGUGGUGCUGCCGGUGGUGCGCCACAGGGCGCCAGCGCAAUCUUGGCCGCAGCGGCUCCCUACUAUCAACCGCCGGCUGUUCCCCAGGAUGUCCAGCCGGAUCGUCCCAUCGGCUAUGGAGCAUUCGGAGUUGUGUGGGCCGUCACAGAUCCUCGCGAUGGACGACGAGUGGCCUUGAAGAAGCUGCCAAAUGUGUUCCAAUCGUUGGUCUCAUCGAAGCGCGUUUUCCGCGAGCUGAAAAUGCUGUGCUUCUUCAAGCAUGAAAAUGUUCUUUCAGCUCUGGACAUUCUACAGCCACCGCAUUUGGAUUUCUUUCAAGAAAUCUAUGUGAUAACGGAGCUGCUGCAAUCGGAUCUGCACAAGAUAAUCGUGUCGCCGCAGCACCUGUCCGCCGACCACAUCAAGGUGUUCCUGUACCAGAUCCUGCGCGGCCUCAAGUAUCUGCACUCGGCCCGCAUCCUGCAUCGCGACAUCAAGCCGGGCAAUCUGCUGGUGAACUCGAAUUGCGUGCUCAAGAUCUGUGACUUUGGAUUGGCCCGCGUCGAGGAGCCCGAUCAGGCCAAGCACAUGACCCAGGAGGUGGUCACCCAGUACUAUCGCGCACCGGAGAUUCUGAUGGGCGCUCGCCACUACUCGUCGGCGGUGGAUGUAUGGUCGGUGGGCUGCAUUUUUGGCGAGCUGCUGGGCCGUCGCAUCCUCUUCCAGGCACAGAAUCCUGUGCAGCAGCUGGAACUGAUUACCGAGCUGCUGGGCACGCCCACCAUGGAGGAUAUGCGUCACGCCUGCGAAGGCGCCCGCACCCACAUGUUGCGCCGGGCGCCCAAGCCGCCAUCCUUCUCGGUGCUCUACACACUCAGCUCGCAUGCCACGCACGAGGCGGUGCACCUGCUCUGCCAGAUGCUCGUCUUCGAUCCGGACAAGCGUAUCUCCGUGACAGAUGCCCUGGCGCAUCCGUAUCUGGAUGAGGGGCGUCUGCGCUACCACUCGUGCAUGUGCAAAUGCUGCUUCACUACCUCAGCCGGAAUGCGUCAGUAUACGGCUGAUUUUGAGCCCUCCGCCGGCCAGCCCUUCGAUGAUCUGUGGGAACGCAAGCUGACAUCCGUGCAGCAGGUCAAAGAGGAGAUGCACAAGUUCAUUGCCGAGCAGCUGCAAACGGGUCGUGUGCCGCUGUGCAUCAAUCCACAGAGUGCAGCCUUCAAGAGUUUCGCCAGCCAAUGAGAAUGAGAAAAUCUACUACUACUACCACUACCACUACUACCACUACAACUUGCACUGCUGCUCCUGCCGCUGCUCCAAUCCGCCGCCGCCUACUGCUGCGCUGUCCUCGAGAACCGAUCCAGGUCCAGAUCGAGAUACUAGGCGCGCGAUCUCCUCUCACUAGAACGACUCGAUAUAGACACGCAGAAGUCGCCAGAUACUAAACGCAAUCUGCCGAUUGAUUGACGAAUGAAAAUGAUAAUGAAAACGAAAGCGAAAUCGAAAACGAAAGCACACCCAAGAUAAAGAUACAAUAAUACAGAUACAGAAAAUGAGGCCUCGGGGCGGCAACUGUCUCUCUACUCCUUCUUAGUUCGACUGUGGCACAUCCUUCGGAGCUGCCGCCCUCGCCUCACCAAUGGGAAUGACGGCAAAAUGAGGCGAUUGCUGCCUAAAAUCGAAACAAAAGCAACACAGCCAAACGAUAGACACUUGCCGCCGAGAACAAGGAGGAGAGGAGUCGAUUCGCAGUCCAAAAAUCCCUAGAAAACCAUCCCCAUCCAACCAAACCCAGAGAUGAUAACUCAGCCAGGAACAACUAUUGAAUAUUUUUUAAGCGCCAAACGGCUUUUAAGUGGGCGUUUGUCUGUUUGAAAGUCAAAGCAUUCCACCACCGAAAUUAACUAAAACAAAACAAACAAAUAUUUAAUAAUACUAUAGACAAACAAAUAUGUAACGUAACUCAACGGAAACUAGUCUAAACAACAAAACUGUAGUUAAAGCAGCAACGGUAUCGACGCAAACCAGCAAGUUUAAGGAAAACGAAAAUAUUAAAAAAAAAAAGAAAUUAACGAGAGAGAGGGGAGCAGCAGCAGAAAACCUACGCACUAAACACAAAGCGUAUUUAACAAAUAACUAUAAUUUUUUGGCAACAAAGCAGACAUUUUGUUGUGCUUGACAUGAAUUGGAAACGAAAAUUCAAUUAAAAUAAACAACAACCGAAAAUCGUUUUAUGUUAAGCUCCUAUUAAAACUAUGUAUAUGUAAAUUAAUUAGCAACACACACAGACAUCGUAUUCAUUAUAUACAAGUAUGCUUAAAUCUUAAAUAUAUCUAUAUAUAUAUUUAAAGUAAAAUAGUAACAAAAUGCACACAAAUCCAAAAUUUGUUUGCCAAAAUUUACCUCAAGCGUUAGUCCUUUUCGUCCGCAAAAAGGAUCGAUUCACUUUCUGUUAGCUUACGACAAAAACAUUUAAUAAUGCAAUGUGUAGCUACAGUUAAAUGUGUACUAAACGCUAAAAGAAAAACAAAUUCUUUUGAAAUUAUGCAACUAUUUUUAUUUACACAAACGUUUGAAGCUUCAAUUUUGAAACUGGUUUCUAGAAAUAUACUCUAAAUGUAGCUGGCCACAAAAAAAUGGUCAGCCCUAACUCAUUAGGAAAAAGGAAAAAUAUUCGAUGAAAUAAGUUCAAAGUUUCAACUGUCGACUGAACAAAAAUACAAUAUAAAUUAAUAUAUAAAUAUAAAUUAAACAAUUUCAACAUAAUUUAGUUACGACAAUUUUCGCUUUGAUAAUAGUUUGUUAGGCUUUUUAAUCAUUAGUUUCAUAAAAGUAAACUAUACAAUAAACAAACCAACAAAUGAAAAACCAACAAGUGGACGACGCACUGCCCCCAGUGAAUGAUUCGAGCGGAACGAUCCCAACUGGAUGGAAAGAAGGGAGUGAUCCCAUUUCUCCUUGGAGUCUCAAGGCGCCGCCCGAAUCAAUUCGAUUUUAGUUAUGUUUAAUUUGCUCUUAGUUGAUUACCAUGUAAUAUAGUUUAAUUUUCGACUAACUACACCUCUGUCUCUCUCAAUGCUCAUCGCUAUAGACUAUAGCUAAGGUGCAGGACAGGAUCGGUUAUAGAGGAUCAAUUGCUAAGGCCUCGGCUGCCCAGAACAUUAAAUAUGUUUAAGACUGAGUUUUCUCAUUUGACGAUGACGAUUGAUUGAUUGAGGAUAUGCAAUAUAUAAUUCGCACUUCAUUUAUUUGAAACGACAAAAUUUUGAUGUAGAUUAAGCACUUAAACGAAAUUAAAAAAAAAA